rnacentral:rRNA from 1 species
ACUAGCUGAGAGGAGGUGCAUGGCCGUCGUCAGUCGUACUGUGAAGCAUCCUGUUAAGUCAGGCAACGAGCGAGACCCACGCCAACAGUUGCCAGCAUGUCCUCCGGGAUGAUGGGGACGACUGUUGGGACCGCCUCUGCUAAAGAGGAGGGAAAGGGAAUGGGCAACGGUAGGUCAGCAUGCCCCGAAUUAUCCGGGCUACACGCGGGCUACAAUGGUCAGGACAAUGGGUAUCGACACCGAGAGGUGGAGGCAAUCUCCUAAACCUGUCCUUAGUUCGGAUUGUGGGCUGCAACUCGCCCACAUGAAGCUGGAAUCCGUAGUAAUCGCGUUUCAAAAUAGCGCGGUGAAUAUGUCCCUGCUCCUU